CUAAAGCACCCUCUCCUGGUCCCAGACCAGCAUCACAUACUUAACUCACUCCCUGCCAUCUCCCCUUCUCAUCCUCCCCACUAAACAUCCAUUCCUCCAAUAGAUGAGGAUAAUAGAUAACCCAUAGCCCCUGGUGCUCAAAAGCCAGAUCUGUAGCCAUUGUUCCCUCAGGCAAGUCUCAGCACACACACCCCUGCCCCCACCAUACCUGCGUGCCCUGGCCCCUGCUCCCUUCUCACCGUAUGCACGAGGUCCAGGGAGAAGAUUUGGAUGCAGCAGACAAUAGCAGAGAGUGUACAGAUUAUAGCGGCACAAAUGGUGAGCCCACAGACGCUGAAGAGCAGGUUCGAGAACCCAGCCCAAGACGGGCAGGACCUCUUGAUGCUCUCGGUGGUGGUGACGGAAGAGGCCACCAUGCUGAAGGUGACCACCAGGAUGCCCAGGAGCACUUGGACCAGCCCCAGCGUAAGC
rnacentral:lncRNA from 1 species